rnacentral:rRNA from 1 species
AUACGUAGGGGGCGAGCGUUAUCCGGAUUUACUGGGUGUAAAGGGAGCGCAGACGGAGAAGCAAGUCUGAUGUGAAAGCCCGUGGCUCAACCGCGGGACUGCAUUGGAAACUGUUUAUCUGGAGUACUGGAAGGGCAAGCGGAAUUCCUGGUGUAGCGGUGAAAUGCGUAGAUAUCAGGAGGAACACCGGUGGCGAAGGCGGCUUGCUGGACAGUAACUGACGUUGAGGCUCGAAAGCGUGGGGAGCAAACAGGAUUAGAUACCCUGGUAGUCCACGCUGUAAACGAUGAAUACUAGGUGUUGGGAGGCAAAGCCUUUCAGUGCCGUCGCAAACGCAAUAAGUAUUCCACCUGGGGAGUACGUUCGCAAGAAUGAAACUCAAAUGAAUUGACGGGG